rnacentral:rRNA from 1 species
AACAAACGCUGGCGGCGUGCAUAACACAUGCAAGUCUAACGGGAAUGUCGGCUUCGGCUGACUAGUACCGUGGCGAACGGGUGAGUAACACGUGGGUAAUCUAACCUCGAGUUUGGGAUAACCUUGCGAAAGCGGGGCUAAUACCGAAUAAGACCACGCUUGGUUCGCCAAGUGCGGUAAAAGGCGGCCUCUUCUUGAAAGCUGUCACUUGAGGAUGAGCCCGCGGCCUAUUAGCUAGUUGGUGGGGUAAUGGCCUACCAAGGCGACGAUGGGUAGCCGGCCUGAGAGGGUGUACGGCCACACUGGCACGGAGAUACGGGCCAGACUCCUACGGGAGGUAGCAGAGGGGAAUUUUGCGCAAUGGGGGAAACCCUGACGCAGCAACGCCGCGUGAGUGAUGAAGGCCUUCGGGUCGUAAAGCUCUUUUGGAGGGAAAGAAAUGUGUCGUGGCUAACAUCCACGGCAUUUGACGGUACCCUCAGAAAAAGUUCCGGCUAACUCCGUGCCAGCCGCCGCGGUAAUAC